GUUCCCGUAGUUCAAUGGAUAGAAUAUUGGAUUCCGGUUCCAACGAUUGGGGUUCGACUCCCCACGGGAAUACAA
rnacentral:tRNA from 1 species